UUGCGCAAACCAAAGGAGGGAAGAGUCAGGCAGCCCCCAGCCCCCCAGGGAGGCCCAGGUGAAAAACAGACGCCGGCCUCGCCUCUCCCGGUGCGGAUGAUCCCGGCACUCCCACCCCCGCCCCUGCUGCCCCGAGUUCGGCUCCCUCAGCCCCACAUCCUCUCUGGUCAUCUAAGUGGACUGCAGCUGCUCAGGGAGCAUGUCGCGAAGGAUAGGGAAGGACAGGGGGUCUGCUUCCCCAGCCGCCCUCCAGACCCCCAGGGCUGGUAGGGGCCGGCAACCCUAUGCCCCAACCUGGCCUGCUGCAGGUGAGGGGGGCACACCAGGGUAACACAGGAGCAGGAGGGGGAGAAAGCCUGGCUAGAGCAUCCACCUCAUAGGCACCUUCCUUGUGUCCAGGGUGCAGAUGCCAGGGCUCUGAGGCCCUGAGGUCCUGUCUGGGGCGAGGGGGCUUCCUCCAUCCACUGCAUCCACUGCCCGGCUGAGUCUAGAGGCCACUGAGCAAGCAGACCCUCCAAAGCCAGGCACACUCAGGCCCUCACAUGGUCACGGUGCUUAUGCUCUGGGCCAGCCUGGAUUGCUCAUCCCUAGCUGAGAUUGGGAUUCACAGGGUCUUCCAGUUCCCCCUUUUCUUUCUCUACUGAUUGAGAAACACAGAGUCCUUUGAUUGCUCUGGGACCUGGCCAUUGCGUGUUCCCUGCAGCCUUGAACCCAGUUCAAUGGGGCCGGGCACAUUCCCUGAUAAAGCUGUUUAGGUUGCUUGAAAACACAAUCAACCCUAUUGCUAAACACGUAGAAACUGGCCCUGCCCUGAGUCCAAUCCCUUAAACUCUCAUCUAAGCUCCAUAGCCAGAGUCCCUUGCUGCAAAUGUACCUGGGUGGAGCAUCCCUUGCCUCAUCAUCGAUCCCAAGAAAGCUGAAGCUCCAUGUGAAAAUUUCCGGAAGAAAUGCUCUGGACUGAUCACCCUGGCGUUUAGAGCUUCUUUCCUUGGAAUCCCAACCAAUUCCAUCGCGGGACUGUUUGGGGAAGUCUUUUGAGGCAACUCCCUUGCUGCCACUUUUGGGGCAACUCUAGCCUCCUCAUAUUUGGCCAGAUAGAACAGUUCCAAGCUGUAAAUGUUUCCAGGAAAAAAUCUCAACUACAAAGACACUUUCAAGGUGCUGCAUUUCCAACAGCACUCUCCGUAUCCGAGUGGACAGCCCAGAGCAAUGGUGCUUCCAAUCCACAGAGCCCCUCCACAGGUCCCUUGCCAUCUGCAGACACCCACAUCUCAAGGCUGGAGUGCAAUGACAGUCUCAGCUCACUGCAACCUCUGCUCCCGGGUUCAAGCGAUUCUCCUGCCUCGGCCUCCCGAGUAGCUGAGAUUACAGGCACCUGCCACCAC
rnacentral:lncRNA from 1 species